GGCAGGAGGUAGUCUAGUGGUGAUGGUGCUUGACUCCAAGCCGAAAGGUUCUGGGUUCGAACCCCAAUGUCCUUCCU